CAGUGGCGAACGGGUGAGUAACACGUGGGCAAUCUGCCCUGCACUCUGGGACAAGCCCUGGAAACGGGGUCUAAUACCGGAUACGACCUUCCUCUGCAUGGGGGUUGGUGGAAAGCUCCGGCGGUGCAGGAUGAGCCCGCGGCCUAUCAGCUUGUUGGUGGGGUAAUGGCCUACCAAGGCGACGACGGGUAGCCGGCCUGAGAGGGCGACCGGCCACACUGGGACUGAGACACGGCCCAGACUCCUACGGGAGGCAGCAGUGGGGAAUAUUGCACAAUGGGCGAAAGCCUGAUGCAGCGACGCCGCGUGAGGGAUGACGGCCUUCGGGUUGUAAACCUCUUUCAGCAGGGAAGAAGCGAAAGUGACGGUACCUGCAGAAGAAGCACCGGCUAACUACGUGCCAGCAGCCGCGGUAAUACGUAGGGUGCGAGCGUUGUCCGGAAUUAUUGGGCGUAAAGAGCUCGUAGGCGGCCUGUUGCGUCGGUUGUGAAAGCCCGGGGCUUAACCCCGGGUCUGCAGUCGAUACGGGCAGGCUAGAGUUCGGUAGGGGAGAUCGGAUUCCU
rnacentral:rRNA from 1 species